rnacentral:rRNA from 1 species
UUAAACGAGAAGAACCUUCCCAAGUCUUGACAUCCAAUUUGACCACCCCUAGAGAUAGGGCUUUCCUUUCGGGGACAAAGUGACAGGUGGUGCAUGGUUGUUGUCAGCUCGUGUCGUGAGAUGUUGGGUUAAGUCCCGCAACGAGCGCAACCCCUAUUAUUAGUUGCCAGCAUUCAGUUGGGCACUCUAAUGAGACUGCCGGUGACAAACCGGAGGAAGGUGGGGAUGACGUCAAAUCAGCAUGCCCCUUAUGACUUGGGCUACACACGUGCUACAAUGGAUGGUACAACGAGUCGCAAACCCGCGAGGGCAAGCAAAUCUCUUAAAGCCAUUCUCAGUUCGGAUUGCAGGCUGCAACUCGCCUGCAUGAAGCUCGGAAUCGCUAGUAAUCGUGGAUCAGCACGCCCCCGAGUGAAUACGUUCCCGGGCCUUGUACACACCGAGA